GAGUUUGAUCAUGGCUCAGAUUGAACGCUGGCGGCAUGCCUUACACAUGCAAGUCGAACGGCAGCAUGAUCUAGCUUGCUAGAUUGAUGGCGAGUGGCGAACGGGUGAGUAAUACAUCGGAACGUGCCCUGUAGUGGGGGAUAACUAGUCGAAAGAUUAGCUAAUACCGCAUACGACCUGAGGGUGAAAGUGGGGGACCGCAAGGCCUCAUGCUAUAGGAGCGGCCGAUGUCUGAUUAGCUAGUUGGUGAGGUAAAGGCUCACCAAGGCGACGAUCAGUAGCUGGUCUGAGAGGACGAUCAGCCACACUGGGACUGAGACACGGCCCAGACUCCUACGGGAGGCAGCAGUGGGGAAUUUUGGACAAUGGGGGCAACCCUGAUCCAGCAAUGCCGCGUGUGUGAG
rnacentral:rRNA from 1 species